CAGUCCAAUUUUGGAACAAAUAUUGUACUACUAUAGCAUCGAAUGGAUGGAAUGGAUGCAUCUUUAAGUUGGUAAUUGGUCGUUAUAAUCAAAUUGGGAAGGGAAAUUUGGCAAUGUUUAAAUUGAAAGUUAGAAUUUUCAACUUUGGCAGAACGUUCUUUGACAACUUGAGAGGGCAAAUGUUAGACCGUUAUUGGCUAAUAUGGAUAAAGUUUGAGGUUAUUGGUUAGGUUAGCAUGACUUACUAUAUAGAUAUAUGUUGUUGGCUAGAGAAUGAUUAGAAAUUGUUUAAAUUUUAUUUCUUAAAAAGUUUAAGGACAUAGUAUGAUUCUCUGUUGUAAAGAUUGAUUAUUAAGGGAAAAAAUCGUGUGUAAAUAAAUAAUUUAAUAACGAUGAUUAAUUGAGGGUUAUGCGAUAUUAUUAUCAAACUUGAGAGAUAAGGAAUGAACGCAGGGGUUUUCUUGAUAGAUUAUGACCAUUCUUGAGGCUACAUGUAAGAUUUUUAACUCCCAGAUCCAUUUUUUGAUCCAUAGAACGUAAUUUAAUGGGGAAUUAUCGAUAACAAAGAGUUUUGAUAUGGAAUUAGUUAUGGAGAAGAAAGUCCUAAUUUGGGAAUUGGAUCAUGGACCAAUAACAAGCGGAAUAAAUCCAGAAAGGGAAAAAUCAAGUUUCUUAGGGGAUUAAAUCUUUUGUUCGAGGUCAUUCUUAGGCGGUUAUUGAUAGGCCUCACUUAGAAGAUCAGUGAUCGCCAAUCCAAUUCAAGGGUGAGCUAGUUCUUCCAAGAUGCGAUGAGUUCUCUUUGAUCUGUAUCCAUCAUUGCGUAUUUUGACUAUCUAGUUAGUUAUUUGUACAUUAGUUUGGGGUUUUGACCCUUCUUCUUUAUUCUUAUGGGUCUUGUUAGAGUUUUGGUACAUUGACUUUAAUUUUCUAGGCGUAUUUCCCCAUUUGUUUAGUUGUUAGAUAUUUUGGAAGUUUAUGCAACUUCAACUUUUAAUGCAA